rnacentral:lncRNA from 1 species
UCUUCAAUUUGAAUCUUUUCUUCAAACAUCCGCGAUCAACUCUUCAAGACUCUAUUCAGCUUUAUGAAAUCCGCCAACCUAUAAAAUCCUUAACAAUCUCCCACUUUGACGAUUUCGUGACAAAAAAAUACUACAAAGCUUGUACACAACUCAGAAACAAUAAAAAGAAGAUCAUCGUAAUCAUCAAACGACAAUCUCCUGUAUGAUCGAUCCAAUAAACAAAAAUUAUAUUUUUCACACCUUAAUACAGACUCUAUGACUUAGACAUGGA